UGAUUAAAGAAGGAGAUCAAAUCAGAUCUGCCAUCAGAAGCCAUUUAUGCAAGCUAGCACUCCCGCAAAAGACUGAUCGAUUCGAAGACUUUGUGUGGAUGAUCCGUAGAUCGAGGUCAAACUCCUUAUAUAGCUGUGAGUGACUAGUAUAGCCUCUAAUCCAUGAGUUUUAGUUGUGGUGUUCAUCAACCCACGCUUAGAUAUAGGGUUCGAAACCCUAGUA
rnacentral:lncRNA from 1 species